CCUACGGGGUGCUGCAGUGAGGAAUAUUGGUCAAUGGACGAGAGUCUGAACCAGCCAAGUAGCGUGAAGGAUGACUGCCCUAUGGGUUGUAAACUUCUUUUAUAUGGGAAUAAAAUGUUCCACGUGUGGGAUUUUGUAUGUACCAUAUGAAUAAGGAUCGGCUAACUCCGUGCCAGCAGCCGCGGUAAUACGGAGGAUCCGAGCGUUAUCCGGAUUUAUUGGGUUUAAAGGGAGCGUAGGUGGAUUGUUAAGUCAGUUGUGAAAGUUUGCGGCUCAACCGUAAAAUUGCAGUUGAAACUGGCAGUCUUGAGUACAGUAGAGGUGGGCGGAAUUCGUGGUGUAGCGGUGAAAUGCUUAGAUAGCACGAAGAACUCCGAUUGCGAAGGCAACUCACUGGACUGCAACUGACACUGAGGCUCGAAAGUGUGGGUAUCGAACAGGAUUAGAUACCCUGGUAGUC
rnacentral:rRNA from 1 species